CACCUCUACUCCAGUAUAAAAAAUUCCACUCUGCCAUUUGUUUACCAAAUACUUUGAAAAUCAGCUUCUUAGAUUCAAGCACACUUCCACAGCGGUUUUCAAGAAGGCUGACUAAAUCUCCUUACACGCUUAAGUUUUGUGCUCACCUCUGCUCCAGUAUAAAGAAUUCCACUCUGCCUUUUGUUUGCCAAACACUUUGAAAAUCAGCUUCUUAGAUUCAGGCACACUUCCACAGCGGUUUUCAGGCAGGCUGCCAUUCCACUACCUUAUCUUGCUGUGAGACAAAGUUGUAAUAGAAACGAGGAAGCAAAUUAAUACAGAUUUCCCUUCAGUCACAUAUAUUCAACCCGCACAGCAAGCGAGCCCUUCAGUGCAGUCUUGGAUUGCCGCUCUUGUGGGGACAUGCAUCGAGUGUCU